GCCAGCAGCAAUAUCACUCUGCAACCCACAGCUGGCAGCCCACUGAAGCUCAGCAGCUGUGAGCCUGGCCAGGACCUGGAUGGGAGACCUCCUGGGAAAAAGGCUGCUGCUGGAG
rnacentral:rRNA from 1 species